rnacentral:rRNA from 1 species
AGCUUUAUGGAAUUAUAUAAGGUGGAACCUGCCCAGUGAUAUUUAACGGCCGCGGUACUUUGACCGUGCUAAGGUAGCAUAAUCAUUUGGCUUUUGAAUGGAGUCUGGGAUGAAUGGGAGAACGGGAACUUACUGUUUCUUUCUCUUUUUUUUGAAAUUACUAAUUAAGUGAAAAGGCUUAAAAAAGAUAAAAGACGAGAAGACCCUAAGAGUUUCUAUUUCGUUGGGGCGACGAGGAAUCAUAACAUUCCUAUUUAUUUGAAGAUUGUAAUAUGUAAAAAUAAACUACCUUAGGGAUAACAGCAUAAUCUUUUUUGGGUUUGUGACCUCGAUGUUGGACUAGGAA